CUGGUUGAUCCUGCCAGUAGUCAUAUGCUUGUCUCAAAGACUAAGCCAUGCAUGUCUAAGUAUAAAUGGUAUACAGUAAAACUGCGAAUGGCUCAUUAAAACAGUUAUAGUUUAUUUGGUAAUCGAAUUUACAUGGAUAACCGUGGUAAUUCUAGAGCUAAUACAUGCUGUAAAGCCCGACUUCUCGGAAGGGCCGUAUUUAUUAGAUAACAGACCAGCAGCUUCGGCUAUUGUGGUGAAUCAUAGUAACUAAUCGGAUCGCAUGGGCUAGUCCCGCGACAAACCAUUCAAGUUUCUGCCCCAUCAGCUUUCGACGGUAGUGUAUUGGACUACCGUGGCUUUCACGGGUAACGGAGGAUUAGGGUUCGAUUCCGGAGAGGGAGCCUGAGAAACGGCUACCACAUCUAAGGAAGGCAGCAGGCGCGUAAAUUACCCAAUUCUGAUUCAGAGAGGUAGUGACAAGAAAUAACGGGUCGGGAUUUUUUCCCGGGACUGCAAUGAGAUGAACUUAUACCCCUUUUCGAGUAACAAUUGGAGGGCAAGUCUGGU
rnacentral:rRNA from 1 species